UACAUCGGAACAUGUCCUGUAGUGGGGGGUAGCCCGGCGAAAGCCGGAUUAAUACCGCAUACGAUCUACGGAUGAAAGCGGGGGACCUUCGGGCCUCGCGCUAUAGGGCUGGCCGAUGGCUGAUUAGCUAGUUGGUGGGGUAAAGGCCUACCAAGGCGACGAUCAGUAGCUGGUCUGAGAGGACGACCAGCCACACUGGGACUGAGGCACGGCCCAGACUCCUACGGGAGGCAGCAGUGGGGAAUUUUGGACAAUGGGGGCAACCCUGAUCCAGCAAUGCCGCGUGUGUGAAGAAGGCCUUCGGGUUGUAAAGCACUUUUGUCCGGAAAGAAAUCCUCUGUCCUAAUACGACGGGGGGAUGACGGUACCGGAAGAAUAAGCACCGGCUAACUACGUGCCAGCAGCCGCGGUAAUACGUAGGGUGCGAGCGUUAAUCGGAAUUACUGGGCGUAAAGCGUGCGCAGGCGGUUCGCUAAGACCGAUGUGAAAUCCCCGGGCUUAACCUGGGAACUGCAUUGGUGACCGGCGGGCUAGAGUAUGGCAGAGGGGGGUAGAAUUCCACGUGUAGCAGUGAAAUGCGUAGAGAUGUGGAGGAAUACCGAUGGCGAAGGCAGCCCCCUGGGCCAAUACUGACGCUCAUGCACGAAAGCGUGGGGAGCAAACAGGAUUAGAUACCCUGGUAGUCCACGCCCUAAACGAUGUCAACUAGUUGUUGGGGAUUCAUUUCCUUAGUAACGUAGCUAACGCGUGAAGUUGACCGCCUGGGGAGUA
rnacentral:rRNA from 1 species